rnacentral:lncRNA from 1 species
GACACAGAGGCUCUGUGGGAGAAGGGAGGGACAGUCCCGGCAUGAGUACACACAGAACCUGGCAGGAGGGUCUUCUAAUGGCCACUGGGCCUGCACCCCUGCUGUGGGCCCAGAGCCCCAUGCACCUGCUUCUUGUCCACCUCCAGAAGGGUGUUGCCUUCUGCACAUCCUUGUUGAAUGAUGUCCCAAGGGAGCCCUGAGAUGUCACAACUUCAGGUGACUCCCCUGCCUCCCAAGGACACUUACAGAGGUGUUUUCACAAAGGACACCUCAC